AGUAGCCCAUCUUUUCAAAUCGAGCCAGCAAUGUUUUCACUUCCUUAACGUAUUCUUGAACAAAGCAGGAAUCAUGGGCAGGUAGAUGGUCAUCAGGAAGAACUCUAAAAGAAUCAGAAUGCAUAUAGACCGUAUUGAUUUAAAUACUUAAAGGAUGAACUAACCGAAAUACGAGGGCUUUUGCAGGCGCUGCCAGAAUCCAGUAUGGCGAUACGUGGGCUCCAAGAGCUGAUAUAUGGAGUAAACCAUAUCCAUUGUCAGUGGGAAAAGACUGG